AUGAACGCUGGCGGCGUGCUUAACACAUGCAAGUCGAACGAUGAAGCCCAGCUUGCUGGGUGGAUUAGUGGCGAACGGGUGAGUAACACGUGAGUAACCUGCCCUUAACUCUGGGAUAAGCCUGGGAAACUGGGUCUAAUACCGGAUAGGAGCGUCCACCGCAUGGUGGGUGUUGGAAAGAUUUAUCGGUUUUGGAUGGACUCGCGGCCUAUCAGCUUGUCGGUGAGGUAAUGGCUCACCAAGGCGACGACGGGUAGCCGGCCUGAGAGGGUGACCGGCCACACUGGGACUGAGACACGGCCCAGACUCCUACGGGAGGCAGCAGUGGGGAAUAUUGCACAAUGGGCGCAAGCCUGAUGCAGCGACGCCGCGUGAGGGAUGACGGCCUUCGGGUUGUAAACCUCUUUCAGUAGGGAAGAAGCGAAAGUGACGGUACCUGCAGAAGAAGCACCGGCUAACUACGUG
rnacentral:rRNA from 1 species